rnacentral:rRNA from 1 species
CCAAUAGCGUAUAUUAAAGUUGUUGCAGUUAAAAAGCUCGUAGUUGAAUUUCGGGAUUCGUCGGUUGGUCGGGCUUCACUGUCCGCACUGACCUGACGGAUUCCUACCUUCUGAAUAACCAGCAUGCUAUUAAGUUAGUGCGUUGGGGAAGCAGAGCUAUUACCUUGAAAAAAUUAGAGUGCUUAAAGCAGGCUUGUGCUUGAAUAGAUUAGCAUGGAAUAAUAAAAUAGGACGGCAUGGUUCUAUUUUGUUGGUUUCUAGGAUCACCGUAAUGAUUAAUAGGGAUAGUUGGGGGCAUUAGUAUUCAAUUGUCAGAGGUGAAAUUCUUGGAUUUAUUGAAGACUAACUUCUGCGAAAGCAUUUGCCAAGGAUGUUUUCAUUAAUCAAGAACGAAAGUUAGGGGAUCGAAGACGAUCAGAUACCGUCGUAGUCUUAACCAUAAACUAUGCCGACUAGGGAUCGGACGAUGUUAAUUUUUUAAUGACUCGUUCGGCGCCUUACG